AGCUCAAUUGGUAGAGUGCCUGCCUCACAGCAGGGCCCUGGGCUCAAUCCCCAGCACCACAAAAAAACCAAGCCGGAGGGGAAGGCCAAGCAGGUUGAAAUUUUAGGCUCCCGCCCAGAGGUGAGCCUUGCAGUGAUAGGGGGAUGCUCUCCGGAGUGAAGGCAAAGGAGGUGGGAAGGAGGGACAUUUACCCCUUGCCUUUUUAAGGUACCCGUGGGGCGGUGAGUCAGGACUGCGGGAGCGCAGCGAGCACUGCCCCGCCCCGAGCACCA
rnacentral:lncRNA from 1 species